ACUUUACAAUGCGGGAAACCGUGAUAAGGGAAUCUCGAGUGCCAGCAUAUAAUGUUGGCUGUCCAGAUGCCUAAAAAGCAUCUGUUAGCAAGGGCCGGGCAAGACCGGUGCCAGCCGCCGCGGUAACACCGGCGGCCCGAGNNUAACCGUUAUUAUUGGGUCUAAAGGGUCUGUAGCCGGCCAAGUAAGUCCCUUGGGAAAUCUGGCAGCUCAACUGUCAGGCUGCUAGGGGAUACUGUUUGGCUUGGGACCGGGAGAGGUGAGAGGUACCUUGGGGGUAGGGGUGAAAUCUUGUGAUCCUCGGGGGACCACCAGUGGCGAAGGCGUCUCACCAGAACGGGUCCGACGGUAAGGGACGAAAGCUAGGGGCACGAACCGGAUUAGAUACCCGGGUAGUCCUAGCCGUAAACGAUGCUCGCUAGGUGUCAGUCACGGUGCGACCGUGAUUGGUGCCGUAGGGAAGCCGUGAAGCGAGCCACCU
rnacentral:rRNA from 1 species